UACGUAGGGACCAAGCGUUGUUCGGAUUUACUGGGCGUAAAGGGCGCGUAGGCGGCAUGUUAAGUCAGCUGUGAAAUCUCCGAGCUUAACUCGGAACUGUCAGCUGAUACUGAUGUGCUAGAGUGCAGAAGGGGCAAUCGGAAUUCUUGGUGUAGCGGUGAAAUGCGUAGAUAUCAAGAGGAACACCUGAGGUGAAGACGGGUUGCUGGGCUGACACUGACGCUGAGGCGCGAAAGCUAGGGUAGCAAACGGG
rnacentral:rRNA from 1 species